UCUGUCCUAGGGGCGCAGCAGUGGGGAAUAUUGCACAAUGGGGGAAACCCUGAUGCAGCGACGCCGCGUGAAGGAUGAAGUAUUUCGGUAUGUAAACUUCUAUCAGCAGGGAAGAAAAUGACGGUACCUGACUAAGAAGCCCCGGCUAACUACGUGCCAGCAGCCGCGGUAAUACGUAGGGGCAAGCGUUAUCCGGAUUUACUGGGUGUAGAGGGAGCGUAGACGGCAUGGCAAGUCUGAUGUGAAAACCCGGGGCUCAACCCCGGGACUGCAUUGGAAACUGUCAGGCUAGAGUGUCGGAGAGG
rnacentral:rRNA from 1 species